AUACGGAGGGUGCAAGCGUUACUCGGAAUCACUGGGCGUAAAGCGCGCGCAGGCGGUCUUAUAAGUUGGAUGUGAAAGCCUACGGCUCAACCGUAGAACUGCAUCCAAAACUAUUAGACUAGAGUGUGGGAGAGGAAGAUGGAAUUAGUUGUGUAGGGGUAAAAUCCGUAGAGAUAACUAGGAAUACCAAAAGCGAAGGCAAUCUUCUGGAACACUACUGACGCUGAGGCGCGAAAGCGUGGGGAGCAAACAGGAUUAGAUACCCUAGUAGUCC
rnacentral:rRNA from 1 species